UAGACAAAGCGAUUCGACGGGGGCAAGCUGCUCUCUUUACGCCUUCACGGUCGCUCUGCUUCGGAUCCGUUCGUCGCUCUCUCUCGCGCAUCGAGAAACAGUAGCUUCUUGCUGCAACAACUGAGGCUUGGGAUCAUAGUCCAUAAAGGUUUAGUGUAGGACGACCAUUGGAGCAAUAGUAUAGGAUGACCAUCCUCUGUUCAAGAAGAUUGUCAAGUCUCAGUUUUCCUUAUUGCAGAUAUCUUGUUGCUUGCAUCGUACUGUAAUUCCAUGCCAUGACGAGAGGAUUUUAUAGUAGUAGACAGCUGAGGUUGGGUUGUUCAAACUACUUUCAAAUAUAUUGACGCCAAAUAAUAUGUGAUUGCUUCAGACAGAUAUGUCAAAUAUCAUAGUGGUACUCGUCAAAUUGACAGUUUCAGUGCGAUAAAGUAACAAAUUGUGAAACUUAGGCAGUGUCAGUUUCAAUAUUUUUUAUUCAAUCACUUUGAUAUUCAUCAACUCAAUUGAAGUGGAUGGUUAUGCGAGCCCACCAGAAACCAUAAUCAUUUACAAAUGCUUGGCACGCAACUCAAUCAAAAUUUUUUUUUUGGCCGUUGGAUAUCUGAUUCUUAUUCUCUAGAUGGGAGUGGUUCUGGUUCCACCUGCCACACCAUUUCUUUUGUUCAGGAUUCUGCUAGAUAAAAUAGAGAGGUUAAUAGAUGAGUUUUGUGAACAUUCAUUUUAUGGCAAUAUUUCUGAUAUUAUUCCAGCAGUAUGUUUUAAUUUUUGCUAAGUUGGUGUUUCAUAAUCUCUCGAAUAUUCAUUUAAUUCUUGCAUAUUAUUCUUGUGUUGACUUGACCCUUAUAUAAUAAAUCAGUCCUUUCUGCCAUUUUUUGGUACUUCUAUGUUGAGAAUUCCUCGUGAUCGUGCUGCCUUGAGUAAUCCACCACAUUUCAACUGCUUCUCUUGUGAUGUGGGCAUAACUAAUUGAGUUACAAAUUCUCAAUUUAGCACGAUAAUCACUACAUUACACAAUCAGCAUGCUGUUCCAAUGGUCUUAGGUUUUAAUAACUAGCACAAUCAUACACCUUAUCAAGUGGAAAGUACAGAUGCUUCUAUGCAUUGUUGCAUUAGAGAUGAUCCACGUAAAAUCUAGCUAUGCCUUGUUUGCUCGUUAACCCAUCCAUUUAGUGCAGUCGAAGUCUGCUGCAAAUUGAAUACAAAAUUGUAUCUUUAGACUGCAGACUCGAAUACAUUGUUUUGUAACUUACAAAAUAAAAUUACCUUAGAUUUGGAGGACCUAUACUUUGGUUCUCAUCUGCUUCCGGCUGUGGCUGGCAUAAUUGAAGAUGAAUGGGCACGUUUGCUUCACCUGUUAUGUUGAAAUUAUAUGGAAUAGUUGAACUUCUAUCAAUAUCAUUCAUUCCCCAUGUCGCAUUAACCUGAUAUUGAUCAUUGAAUAUUUAUGUUAAAUACAAUUAAUAACUUGUAAACUAACAAAUUGCAAACGCAUAUAUAUUAUUUUGAUUUACAAUGGUGUGAAUUUGUAACUGGUACCUUCUUUUGCAGUUCAAUAUUUUCUUGGCGAUAAAAGUUUACCUUCUUGUAUAGUUCCAUAUUAUCCUGCUGAAGAAGCUUUCCCUGCAAUAACCAGUAUUUUGGUGAAUCAGAUCUAGAUUUGUAAAUUUACUGAUAUGUAGUGAAAUAUCCUACAACCUUGCGAUCCAAUUCUUGAAUUUCUUCUAUCAAAAGGUGUUCCUGCAAAUUAGUAGCACAUUUAAAAUAGUUGAUACCAAAAGGGAAGAAAAUAUAACUGAAUGAAACCUAGGAAGAUAGGACCUUUUUCAUUCUGACUCUAUGCACGCUUGUUUCUAGUUGGGUCUCCAGAUUCUGUAGAUCUUUGGCACUUAAGCCAGACAGCUCCUGCCCCAUCAGCUGCCUGCAAUUGUUAUGCAAUUGCUGCCUCAAGCUGGCUGCUUUCUUUUGCCAGACCUGGUGAACAGGGAAAUUAACGGACUUGCAUAGACUGAUGGGGAGCUGACUGUUGCACUGCCACCCAUGCAAACUCUAUGAACUUACCCAAACUGAAUCUGAGUCUGCCAGUGGAUAGGUAAUUCGGGCCAAACAUUUUUUUAUUGUGAAAAUUAUUAUGUUUGGAUUCCUUAUAGCAUUACGUUUUUAUAAAAUAGUGGAUACAUAUUUUUAUUUAUUCU